GAUGAACGCUGGCGGCGUGCCUAAUACAUGCAAGUCGAGCGAACAGACGAGGAGCUUGCUCCUCUGACGUUAGCGGCGGACGGGUGAGUAACACGUGGAUAACCUACCUAUAAGACUGGGAUAACUUCGGGAAACCGGAGCUAAUACCGGAUAAUAUAUUGAACCGCAUGGUUCAAUAGUGAAAGACGGUUUUGCUGUCACUUAUAGAUGGAUCCGCGCCGCAUUAGCUAGUUGGUAAGGUAACGGCUUACCAAGGCAACGAUGCGUAGCCGACCUGAGAGGGUGAUCGGCCAAACGGAAACUGAGACCAGGUCCAAACCCCUACGGGAGGCAGCAGUAGGGAAUUUUCCGCAAUGGGAGAAAGCCUGCGGGAGCAACGCCGCGGGAGUGAAGAAGGUUUUCGGAUUGGAAAACUUUGUUAUUAGGGAAGAAAAAAUGUUUAAGUAACUAUGCACGUCUUGACGGUACCUAAUCAGAAAGCCCCGGAUAACUACGU
rnacentral:rRNA from 1 species